UUUUGACGUUCAUUCGUUUUGACGCAACGGACGUCGGAUACGUAGAUAAAAAAAAAGACGAUGUUCUUUUAAUACUCUUUUUUUAAAUUACUUCCCCGGGCGUGUCUCUACUCUGUGGCAAUUACUAAUUCGAAUUAAUGAAAUCGGAUAGGUGUGUUUAAGUAAAAAACACAAAAUUCACAAUGUGCGCAGAAGGGGUCGCGCAGUGUACCUGCCGAGAGCGUGUGAAGUCCGGCGCAGGCAGGGGGUAGAUGUCACAAAGGAAUAUUCAAAUCCGCUCCUGGACGGAGCUAACAUGAAUGUACAUUACCCUAUGACCAUAUUAUUUUUAACGUUCGAAGAUAAUGGCGCAUCGGGGCGAUUCAAAAUUUUUUUUUGUCGCUUUCAAGCUACCCUUUAUCGGGUCCCGCAACGCUUUAGGGCUAUUGUGCAACCGGUGUAUUUUUGUCAUUAGUUAAAUAUAAUUAAGCAUUACUUACUUGCCAUGCGUGAUAGGAAAUAAGUUUAAAAGGAAAUUGUUAAUCUAAAAUUUUAAUUACGUUUUUACCAUUUUCGUGUAGUAUAAUUUUACAAUCAAGAAGAUCGUAAAAUGAUUAGCGUGCAAUCAAAAAAACUGUCAUAAAAAUACCUAGUCUCUAUCCAAUUAAAACCAUUUUAUCUAAUCAAAACAAAAUCGUCAAGGCUUGUUUGUGAAUUUAUUCACUAGGUAAGUUAUGUAUUAGUUUCAUUUCAAAAUAAAUCAAGCUACUAUCUAGCUUCGAGAUGUAUCCAUAAAUUUGGUUUUUUAAACAUUUCAUUUU